UGGUAGGAGAGCGUUCUAUGUGUGAAGAAGGUAUACCGUGAGGAGUGCUGGAACGCAUAGAAGUGAGAAUGCCGGUAUGAGUAGCGAAAGAUGGGUGAGAAUCCCAUCCACCGUAAGACUAAGGUUUCCAGGGGAAGGCUCGUCCGCCCUGGGUUAGUCGGGACCUAAGGAGAGACCGAAGGGUGUAUCCGAUGGACAACAGGUUGAUAUUCCUGUACUAGAGUAUGAAGUGAUGGAGGGACGCAGUAGGCUGACUAAAGCGGGCGAUUGGAAGAGCCCGUCUAAGCAGUGAGGUGUGAUAUGAGUCAAAUGCUUGUAUCUGUAACAUUGAGCUGUGAUGGGGAGCGAAGAUAAGUAGCGAAGUUAGUGACGUCACACUGCCGAGAAAAGCUUCUAGCGAUGUAUCAUACUCUACCCGUACCGCAAACCGACACAGGUAGUCGAGGCGAGUAGCCUCAGGUGAGCGAGAGAACUCUCGUUAAGGAACUCGGCAAAAUGACCCCGUAACUUCGGGAGAAGGGGUGCUGACUUAAAGUCAGCCGCAGUGAAUAGG
rnacentral:rRNA from 1 species